CAACCCUCAAGCUCUGCUUGGUAUUGGGCCCUGCUGGCAACGGCAGGCCUUAAAAACAGUGGCGGUGCCUUUAGGUCCUGAGCGUAGUACAUUUCUCGCUAUAGGUCCCUGAGGGUUACUGGCCAGCAACCCCAAAUUUUUCUA
rnacentral:misc_RNA from 1 species